AGCCCAUCAGCAGGCAAAAAAUGAAGGGGCAGAGAUGGUGUGUCUUCAGAAGAGAAGGGUGAUGAUUCACACAAAUGCUGCCCACCGAAUGCCUUUGUAACACUGCUUUCCAAGAGACAAAGCCACGUGACUGGCAGAGCAGGAGGUGUCCCAGACCCGAGUUCCUCUCGAGAGCAGGGCUGAGUUCUGGAAUGAUCUUCAAAUGUCAAAGGUCAUGGCCUGAGUUUCAGAAUUCCUAACAAAAGUGGCAACAGCAAAAGAAGUGAUUGGCAGUGUCUGCAUGUGAAGAUUCAUGGAUUCCUCAAAAGCUGAUCAUCUGUGUUUUCUCUACAUGGCUAAGAAGGAUUUUUAAAACAAGGACUAAAUAAAGAUGCCACCUACCAUAA